AAUAACUAUGGUAGCUACGGUAGCUACCUAUGUCCUAUACAUGUAUGUUUAAGUCAGUAGACCACAUGACUUCUAGAGGCUAGGGCUGAGGGCUAUGUCUACUACCAAAUAUGCAUGCACAAUUAUAAUUCUUGUUCUUUUUAUGAUAACGUGGCCACUCAUCCAAAAAUCAUGGAUUCAAAACAGUGCUUGGUAGAACAUUGAUGAUCAAGAAAUAUUUGUUGAGUGAAUGAAGGAAAUAAAGGAACUAAUCUCACAGCAUUGUUGUGAAGGUCAUAUGAGGAUGCUACAACUUCAGAAAAAAAAGAGAGAAAUCUCCCAAGGUAACCUGAAGAUGCCAAGUUUCUUACAGAGACUGUACAGUCAUUCUAGAACUCUGGAGCUAGAAUUCCCACCAAUUUGACAUAAAGAGGGCAAACCCAGAUUUGUGUCAAUCACAUAUGACUCCAAGUAAAUGACCUUAUAGAAUAAACCAUCGCUUCAGUAUCUAGACGUCCAAAUCAAAAUCAAAAACAAUGUGUACAAAAUAAUAAAAAUCAAUGUAUAUAAGAAUUGGCACUUUUAUGUUCAAUUUAAAUGAUUCCAUUCACAGCAUUUAGCCAACAAAUACCUGAGGAAUGCCCCCAUGUGCUAGCCACUGUAGUUUCAA